rnacentral:lncRNA from 1 species
CUUACAUUAUGUUGAUUAGAACAUUUCAAUUAAGUUCUGGUUUAAUUGCAAAAUAAAGAUUUUUGAAAGAAAAUAUUACCCAAAAACCUAAAUUAUUUCAGCUGUACCGGUAUUGUUGAAUAAUGGUAAGCUGACACACCUUAACUUUAAUGAUUCCUUUUAGUGCAAAUACUAACAGUCACUUUUUAGAUAUCAAUGUAUGCUAAUGUCUUUAAUGCCUAAGAUCUAUUGAACCAUCAACCUCAGCUAUUAACGACACCUGUAAUUAAUGAAUUUAAAGCAGAAAUACUCUUAUAUUGAAGCAUACACAAAUAUCUUCCAAUUUGCAAAAUACUACUGUGGAUUCAUUAAUAUUCAUUGGAUACCAAUUUUCGUGGGUUUAGUGGGUACAGUUGACCCAUGAAUUCAAAUGUUUAACGAAUAAAAUAUUUUUAAUAGGCUUUGUAUACAG